GCCGCCUCUAACGCCCGGACGUCUCUUUGCUUUGGUGAACUCUCUGCUCCUCCGCCGCCGGCUCUGCCCGACCGUCCCCCUGCGGCCGGCCAUGGCCUCCUCCUCCUCCUCCUCCUCCUCUUCCUCCUCUUCCUCCCCCCGGCGCAGCCGCGGGAGCGGGACCUCAUCCGGAACUUGCGCCUGGUGAGUGCUUCUGCCCUUUGCUCGCCCCGCGGCAGCGCCCGACGCCGGGAGAGGCCGAGCCAGCGCCGGGGAGGAGCGGCGGCACCGCGGGCUGUGCCGGGGCGCGGGGGCGGUGACACCCCGGGGUGCGCCGGUGUCACCCCGGGAUGGGAUCCCCUGGGCCUGCGGCGCCCAGAGGGGAGCGUGGCAUCGCCACGAGCCGGCGGCACCGUGAGCACCCCGUGCCGUGGGGCUGGGACCCCCCCACUCGGCUGCGGCUCCCGGCACCGCAGCAAGACGUGCCAACCGGUCCCUCGGGGCUGUCAGAGAGGGAGGUGGCCCCGGGGCCACCAACCCCCCCCCCGGCUCUCUCCAGACCCGGCUGCCUUUCCCUCAGGCACUUGGGGGGCUCAGGGGCUCCCCGGCCCCUCUGGCACCCAGCGGGCACAACCGUGGCCAGGGGAGGCUCUGGCAUCACCACAAGUAUGGGGGGGUCGUCCCGGCAGGACGUGGGGGGGCUCCCAGCGUGGGCAGACCUGGUCCUUGCCGUGGGGUGAGAGUGGAGGGUGCUGGGAGCUGCCUCCGGCACAGCACGGCCACGGUGGCACCGGCUGCAGGAGCUGGUGAGGGCAGGAGCAGAGCAGGGAUGGCUGUGCCAGAGCUGUGGGGCUGUGCCCAUGCCGUGGGGCUGUGCCCGUGCUGUGGGGCUGUGCCCGUGCUGCGGUGCCGGCGCUGUCAUGGGGCUGAGGCCCCGGUGCAGGAUCUGGUGUGGGGCCGGCGGCUCUCGCCACUGUGGGUUCCGGCAGCGGAGGAUUUCCUGGUGGGGCCGUGGUGACAGGGGACACGGUGGCACCGUGCCCGGCACCGGCUGCGCGGAGGAGCGGCCACGAUGCCCACGCGAGGUGUGGGGGUCCCCAUCCCCCCGUGGUGAUGGGGUGUUGGUGCCUGCGCUCCCCCUGCCCCUCCUGCUGCUGCGGGUGCUCGGUGGGGUGUCCUGGGGGGGCACAGGGGCGCGNNNNN
rnacentral:lncRNA from 1 species